rnacentral:rRNA from 1 species
UACGUAGGUCGCGAGCGUUAUCCGGAUUUAUUGGGCGUAAAGCGAGCGCAGGCGGUUAGUUAAGUCUGAAGUGAAAGCGUGUGGCUUAACCAUAGAAUGCUUUGGAAACUGUUUAGCUUGAGUGCAGGAGGGGGGAGUGGAAUUCCAUGUGUAGCGGUGAAAUGCGUAGAUAUAUGGAGGAACACCGGUGGCGAAGGCGGCUCCCUGGUCUGAGACUGACGCUGAGGCUCGAAAGCGUGGGGAGCAAACAGG